CCUCCCCUCCCUCCUCCCGAGAUCCCAUCCAUGGCCGCCUCCCGCCCCCGGAUCUGGCCCUGAGGCCGCCAUUGCUGGAUCCGCCUCCCCCCCUCCGCGCCGUCGCGCUCCCGGCUCCUCCGCGNNNNNNNNNNNNNNNNNCGGCCUGUCCUUCCCCCCCUUUUUUGGCGGUGCGUUCAUCCGUUGGUUCUUGAUCCGUCGCAUUUGCGCCGGUGAGCUGCCCGAGAGCAAGGAAUUCACCCUGAGAUCUCCGGUCGCUGUUGCCGUGGAAGUCCCCCCUCUCUCUGCCAUUGCAAUCUCCUGUUGCUGUCGCAAGGUGCGUCUUUUACAUAUAAUUUCUGCGAGGAAUUUCGCGGCCGGUUCUCGGGAGGACGGAUUCCUCGCAAUGGUUCUUUGAUUGGGGGAGAAUUUGAUGUGGUGUUGGUGCCGCCGUAUUCUGCCGCCAUGUGGAAGCAAUUUAUCGGCAAGCUGUCGUGGAAAUCGCUGAAAUCUGGCCCUGGAGGCAACGGCGGAGGGGGCUCGCCCACGGCGAAGUCCAAUCCCAUGUCCCCCAGGGAGAAUGGGGCAUUCGGGAAGCCCCCCGCCUCGCCUAGGUCCCCCUCGGGGGCCGCCGGAGCCGAGGGGAGGUCCAGGGAGGACGCCUUCAUCGAGAAGGUGACCAUUUGCUGCACGGUGUACGACUUCACCGACCGGGGCAAGGACUCGCCGGAGAAGGAGAGGAAGCGGCAGGUCCUUAUGUCCCUCGUCGACUCCAUUGGCGCCGCCGAGGAGCCCCUCACGGAGGCGAUGAUGUCGGCGUGCGUGCGCAUGUUCGCUGUCAACCUCUUCAGGGUCUUCCCGCCCAAGGUCCGAUCAGGCACCACCACGUCGGAGACAGAGGAGGACGAGCCCUUCUUCGACCCCUCUUGGUACCACCUGCAAGUUGUGUAUGAAUUGCUUCUGCGGUUUGUGACCUCGCCAUUUGUUGACCCCAAGGUGGCAAGGAAGUAUGUGGACAGUUCGUUCAUCUCCAAGCUGCUUGACCUGUUUGAUUCCGAUGAUCCCAGAGAGAGGGACUGUUUGAAGACAGUGUUGCACAGGAUAUAUGGAAAAUUCAUGGGAAACCGACCGUUCAUCCGCAAGGCUGUGAGCAACAUCUUCUAUAGGUUCGUCUCCGAGGCCGAUCAUCACAAUGGGAUAUCCGAGCUGUUGGAGGUGUUUGGCAGCGUGAUAAGUGGGUUUGCAAAGCCAUUGAAGGAGGAGCAUAAGUUGUUCCUAUGGAAAGCGUUGAUCCCGCUUCACAAGCCUAAGACAGUGGGUGUAUAUCUGCCGCAGCUGACCUACUGCAUAACACAAUUUAUAGAGAAGGAACCCAAGCUUGCAGGGACUGUGAUUAGGGGUCUGUUGAAGUACUGGCCAGUUACAAAUAGUCAGAAGGAGAUGAUGUUCUUGGGGGAGUUAGAAGAAGUGCUUGAGUUGAUUGACAUGGCUGAGUUUCAGAAGUGCAUGGUGCCAUUAUUCCGGAGGAUUGCGACUUGCCUCAAUAGCUCCCAUUUUCAGGUUGCUGAGAGAGCCUUAUUCUUGUGGAAUAAUGAACAUUUGUUCGAUAUGAUCUCCCAAAACCGUCAAGUGAUUGUACCAAUCGUAUACCCAGCUCUGGAGAGAAAUGCACGUUUGCACUGGAACCAAUCGGUUCUCAACGUUACUAUGAAUGUGAGAAAAAUGUUCUUCGACAUGGACGAGAGAUUGCUCCUGACUUGCCAGAGCAACUUCCAAGCGGACGAAGAGAAGCGAGCCGCAGCGGAGGAGCAUCGAAGGCUCACAUGGGAGCAACUGGAGCGGAAUGCCGACCCUGCAUUCCGACCAGCCAACGCGCCCCCUUCUUCGGCCCCUCCGAGAGUCCCCACCGUGACAUGACACGGGUCCGAAUAUACUCCGCCCCACCUUCCCUUGCUUCCUAGCUAGCUAGAUGAAGUUGCUUGCUUCUCUGGGAUACAGAAGGCGUUUUGUUACCUUUGUAAACCCCCCCACCCUUGCCACAAAGUCUGUAAUUAAUAGUUGUUGAUUCGAAGACAAAUGGAUUCUUGAUUUUUUCCUUUUCUUUUUUGCGGCGAAUUCUCGAGUAAUGGGCAUUGCUUUCUUGGCAAAAUCUUGAUUGAGAUUUACCCC
rnacentral:rRNA from 1 species